rnacentral:rRNA from 1 species
UGGCCUACGGGACGCAGCAGUGAGGAAUAUUGGUCAAUGGGCGAGAGCCUGAACCAGCCAAGUCGCGCGAGGGAGUACUGCCCUAUGGGUUGUAAACCUCUUUUGUCAGGGAGCAACGCCGGCUACGUGUAGCCGGACUGAGGGUACCUGAAGAAAAAGCAUCGGCUAACUCCGUGCCAGCAGCCGCGGUAAUACGGAGGAUGCGAGCGUUUUCCGGAUUUAUUGGGUUUAAAGGGUGCGUAGGCGGAAUGCCAAGUCAGCGGUAAAAUCGCGGGGCUCAACCUCGCUCCGCCGUUGAAACUGGC